rnacentral:rRNA from 1 species
UUCCGGUUGAUUCUGCCGGAGGACAUUGCUAUUGGGACUCGAUUUAGCCAUGCUAGUUGCACGAAUUAGAUUCGUGGCAGUAGCUCAGUAACACGUGGCCAAGCUACCCUUCAGACCAGAAUAACCUCGGGAAACUGAGGCUAAGACUGGAUACGGUAUGCACGCUGGAAUGCGGCAUMCUCCAAACGCUCCGGCGCUGAAGGAUGCGGCUGCGGCCAUUUAGGUAGACGGUGGGGUAACGGCCCACCGUGCCAAUAAUUGGUACGGGUGAUGAGAGUCAGAGCCCGGAGACGGAAUCUGAGACAAGAUUCCGGGCCCUACGGGGWDCAGCAGGCGCGAAACCUUUACACUGCACGCAAGUGCRAUAGGGGAAUCCCAAGUGCGAGGGCAUACUAGCCCUCGCUUUUGUGUACUGUAAGGAGGUACACGAAUAAGAGCUGGGCAAGACCGGUGCCAGCCGCCGCGGUAAUACCGGCAGCUCGAGUGAUGUCCACUAUUAUUGGGCCUAAAGCGUCCGUAGCUGGCCGUACAAGUUCGUCGGGAAAUCCACCUGCCAACAGGUGGGCGUCCGGCGAAAACUGUAUGGCUUGGAACCGGAAGUCUCAGAGGGUACGUCCGGGGUAGGAGUGAAAUCCCGUAAUCCCGGACGGACCACCGAUGGCGAAAGCACUCUGAGAAGACGGAUUCGACAGUGAGGGACGAAAGCUAGGGUCUCGAACCGGAUUAGAUACCCGGGUAGUCCUAGCUGUAAACRAUGCUCGUUAGGUGUUGACCACUACGAGUGGGUGCUGUGCCGUAGGGAAGCCGCUAAACGAGCCGCCUGGGAAGUACGUCCGCAAGGAUGAAACUUAAAGGAAUUGGCCGGG